UAUGCCCUGCCAAAGGGUAGAGGGCAGCAACCGACUUGUGCGAAAGGAGGGAACGUGUGGGUCUGCCAGGGUCCUGCAGGGGGGAUGAGACCCUCGCUCCGCUCCGGCGAUCCCUUCGCUCUCCACCCUCGGCCAGCCCCUCCUGUCCUCCAUCAGGCCUCGCUGAGGAUACCUCCUGGGUUCCAAAGCGCGAGUUGAACCUGAGCUUGACAUUCAUUCCGUCUCGUACAAAAGCCAUGCCUGCGGGGAGAGGGAGAAAAUUUCCUACAGGAGCCUCAAGACUGCGUUUCAGGAAGCCCUAGGACCCACUGAUCCUGCAGCUGCGCCUCUCACUCGCCUCAGAGUUUAAGAAGACAUCUGUCAAUAAUAGAGAACUGAAGCUUACCUGAAGAUAAUAAAUGAUAACAUUUGAAUUUUGUUUCAUCUUUGGAGUUUAAGAUUCAGCUUCAUAGUGGCAGGAUAAUCAGCAGACACUCAUACAUAAUAGUAUGGCCUUUAAAAUACCCCAUCAAUAUUUAUCAACUUAUACGCCUAUGUAAUAAUACUGAUCCCUACAAUAGCACUCCAUUCCUUUAGUUCUAGUUUACAAGAUAAAAGAAAUAAGGCAUGAGCAAUUAGAACAUGUCAAUAGAAAGCUUAGCAUUAAAGACAGAACCAGAAUUAAAUAUUCCUAAGGUGUUUGUCUCCUAUUUAUUUAUCAGACCACACUGGCCUUAUAAGUGUUUGUGUAUGUGUGUGUGUUAAAUAACAUACUCAUUAACAAAAAGAGUUCUGCAAUUGAAUUAAUUUUAUCUUUCAACCUUAGAAUUUUAGACUCUUUAUGACUCCCAAAUGCUAUAAAAAACACCUAUAUUCAAUAUUCUUAAUCUUUCUCUUGCUUGGCAAGUUAUUAAUAUAAUAUCAAUGACAGGAAAAAAAUACAAAAUCUCUAAGUUUCCUCUCAAAAGAUAAAAAUUAAAGAGCAAAAUCUGUGAGUUCUAAAUUGUGUAUUCUCUCUAACACUUUGCCCUGUAUAUUUUAGAAUUAUUUUUGUUAGUUUGAGACAAUUUUUGAUAGUUUAUUUAGAAUAUUUAUAUAGUGUAAGAAAAAUCCAUUUCUGUUAAGGCAUACACACACACAAACCCUAAUAUAUUCAAAAGAAUUCAAUAAGCCACCUAAAUGAAACUGUUACAAAUGGGAAUUAUGCAUGUGAAAUAGGCUCAAAUUUCUUUUAGCAAAUUUCCCAUCCUUUGGAUUCACCUGAUGUUUGAGCUCAUGCAGUCCUGAAGAAAAUCCAGCUCGGAGUGAAAUUUAGGAGGGCAGAACAAAGCAGUCAAAUCCAAGUGAUGAGAGCUGUCAAUAGAUCUGCCAUGGGAUAAAAUUGGCAGGUUCUGCUUGGCUCUAGUCACAGGUGGAACAUAAUUUGAUGGCUUUAUCUAUACCUCUCCUGAGCAUUUUUUUCCACAUCAUGGAAAUCUGGUUCAAUUCAGUCUGACAGAUGGAUAUCCGACUUGUAGAAAUGUGGGAGCCCUUGCAGCUCACACUAAAAGAAACAUGACCGCCAGCCUUCUUGGGAACAGAGAUACAAAGUCAGAAAGUUGUGAUAUUGGGGACAUCUGUUACUGAGUUUCAUGUUCCUAGCCCAGGCAUGCACUGUGUGAACCAUAAUAUACAUAUGGCCCCCUGCAGAUAAAUUUGUUACCUUGAUUAAGCUUCUGGAAAGAAGAACCAGAGGAGUUGCAUAAAUGUUGGAUUUACCUAAUUGCAUUUAAAUCGUUCUCUGAACAUAACAAAUGUGAUUUAGCUCUGCAGGUUCACUGUCGCCAAUAUACUAAAUAUAUUUGGGGCCCUGACUCUGAUCACCAGGAUCAACUAAAGGGGUUAAUGGUCAUGAAAAUGUUAUUUAAUGUCACUUUAGGGGUAUUUGCAGUUUUUAUUCAAAAUUUGAAGAAAUUCAGGAUGUUAGUUCAUGAAUAUCACAAAAUGCUACAGUUUUUUUCCUUUCCUGGUUGCUCUGUCUCCCCAUAAAUUGUGUUUUCACUUUAUAUGUUUGGAAAUGCAAGAUGCAAAUGGCUAACUGGAGAAAGGAUGAUGCAUUGGGUAACAAAUGAGCUUUCAAAGAAGUUCACAUUUAAAACAAAUUUGGCUGUAUUUUUUCAGGUUGACAAUCUAUACAAAUAUGUGCAAGUUGAAGUUUCUCACCAUUUCUCUCUUAUCACCUGCAUAACAUACACAAUUCCAUAGAACACCAACCCUGUGCUCAGCUUUUACUGAAGGACUUGCAAUUGGUGCCCUUGCAGUAAUGUACAUCCUGCUUUGAAUGUUUUUUUCCCCAAAGAUUGGUUCCCUCUUUUAAGUUUCAAAAGUCACCUUAUCAAAGGACAUUUCUUACUUCAUCCACCUGUCUCAUUUUUAUUUUUUUGCUCUGCUUUAUUUUUCUUCAUAACACAUCCCUACUCACAUCAUAUUUAUUUGUAUAUUGUUUGUUCCUCCUCCUGAAACAUAAACCACAUCAGAUAAGUUACUUUAUCUGUUUUUCUCUGUUGUAUACCACUGCCUAAAACAGUACGUAAAACAUACAGUGUCUGCUCAAUAAAUAUUAGUCAAACUAAUGAAGAUGAAUUGGCCUCAGGAAACAUGAAUAAGUGAAACCUGGAACCCUCAUAGACUUCCCUUGCAGCUUUUCUGUUCCUGCUGUCUGUUACCGUAUUUUCAAUCAAACCAAAGAGGUUGUAAUGUCUGUCAUAAUUUUAGAUCUUUUCAUUAAUAUCUCUGCCUCCAUCUAG
rnacentral:lncRNA from 10 species